rfam:Salmo salar isolate Sally breed double haploid chromosome ssa26, whole genome shotgun sequence.
UGUAUGCAUUCACUGUAAAUCGCUCUGGAUAAGAGCGUCUGCUAAAUGACUAAAA